AAAUUGAAGAGUUUGAUCAUGGCUCAGAUUGAACGCUGGCGGCAGGCCUAACACAUGCAAGUCGAACGGUAACAGGAAGCAGCUUGCUGCUUUGCUGACGAGUGGCGGACGGGUGAGUAAUGUCUGGGAAACUGCCUGAUGGAGGGGGAUAACUACUGGAAACGGUAGCUAAUACCGCAUAACGUCGCAAGACCAAAGAGGGGGACCUUAGGGCCUCUUGCCAUCGGAUGUGCCCAGAUGGGAUUAGCUAGUAGGUGGGGUAACGGCUCACCUAGGCGACGAUCCCUAGCUGGUCUGAGAGGAUGACCAGCCACACUGGAACUGAGACACGGUCCAGACUCCUACGGGAGGCAGCAGUGGGGAAUAUUGCACAAUGGGCGCAAGCCUGAUGCAGCCAUGCCGCGUGUAUGAAGAAGGCCUUCGGGUUGUAAAGUACUUUCAGCGGGGAGGAAGGCGAUAAGGUUAAUAACCUUGUCGAUUGACGUUACCCGCAGAAGAAGCACCGGCUAACUCCGUGCCAGCAGCCGCGGUAAUACGGAGGGUGCAAGCGUUAAUCGGAAUUACUGGGCGUAAAGCGCACGCAGGCGGUCUGUCAAGUCGGAUGUGAAAUCCCCGGGCUCAACCUGGGAACUGCAUUCGAAACUGGCAGGCUAGAGUCUUGUAGAGGGGGGUAGAAUUCCAGGUGUAGCGGUGAAAUGCGUAGAGAUCUGGAGGAAUACCGGUGGCGAAGGCGGCCCCCUGGACAAAGACUGACGCUCAGGUGCGAAAGCGUGGGGAGCAAACAGGAUUAGAUACCCUGGUAGUCCACGCCGUAAACGAUGUCGACUUGGAGGUUGUGCCCUUGAGGCGUGGCUUCCGGAGCUAACGCGUUAAGUCGACCGCCUGGGGAGUACGGCCGCAAGGUUAAAACUCAAAUGAAUUGACGGGGGCCCGCACAAGCGGUGGAGCAUGUGGUUUAAUUCGAUGCAACGCGAAGAACCUUACCUACUCUUGACAUCCAGAGAACUUUCCAGAGAUGGAUUGGUGCCUUCGGGAACUCUGAGACAGGUGCUGCAUGGCUGUCGUCAGCUCGUGUUGUGAAAUGUUGGGUUAAGUCCCGCAACGAGCGCAACCCUUAUCCUUUGUUGCCAGCGGUUAGGCCGGGAACUCAAAGGAGACUGCCAGUGAUAAACUGGAGGAAGGUGGGGAUGACGUCAAGUCAUCAUGGCCCUUACGAGUAGGGCUACACACGUGCUACAAUGGCGCAUACAAAGAGAAGCGACCUCGCGAGAGCAAGCGGACCUCAUAAAGUGCGUCGUAGUCCGGAUUGGAGUCUGCAACUCGACUCCAUGAAGUCGGAAUCGCUAGUAAUCGUGGAUCAGAAUGCCACGGUGAAUACGUUCCCGGGCCUUGUACACACCGCCCGUCACACCAUGGGAGUGGGUUGCAAAAGAAGUAGGUAGCUUAACCUUCGGGAGGGCGCUUACCACUUUGUGAUUCAUGACUGGGGUGAAGUCGUAACAAGGUAACCGUAGGGGAACCUGCGGUUGGAUCACCUCCUUA
rnacentral:rRNA from 1 species